AUUGAACGCUGGCGGCAUGCCUUACACAUGCAAGUCGAACGGCAGCACGGGAGCAAUCCUGGUGGCGAGUGGCGAACGGGUGAGUAAUAUAUCGGAACGUGCCCAGUCGUGGGGAUAACGUAGCGAAAGCUACGCUAAUACCGCAUACGAUCUAUGGAUGAAAGCGGGGGAUCGCAAGACCUCGCGCGAUUGGAGCGGCCGAUAUCAGAUUAGGUAGUUGGUGAGGUAAAGGGCUCACCAAGCCGACGAUCUGUAGCUGGUCUGAGAGGACGACCAGCCACACUGGGACUGAGACACGGCCCAGACUCCUACGGGAGGCAGCAGUGGGGAAUUUUGGGACAAUGGGCGCAAGCCUGAUCCAGCAAUGCCGCGUGCAGGAUGAAGGCCU
rnacentral:rRNA from 1 species